rnacentral:lncRNA from 1 species
GGAGUCUCUCUCUGUCACCCAGGUUGGAGUCCAGUGGUUCAAUCUCGGCUCACUGCAAGCUCUGCCUCCCAGGUUUACGCCAUUCUCCUGCCACAGCCUCCCGAAUAGCUGGGACUACAGGUGCAUGACACAAGGCCUGACUAAUUUUUUGUAAUUUUAGUAGAGAUGGGGUUUCACUGUGUUAGCCAGGAUGGUCUGGAUCUCCCAACCUCGUGAUCCGCCCGCCUCAGCCUCCCAAAGUGCUGGGAUUACAGGUGUGAGCCUGGCCAACAAUCUUUUUAAAGUACAUAUGAAAUCUAGCUAAAGGAAGAAUUAGGAAACAGGAAGAUGGAUCUCUAAAAAUUACCCCUAUAAUGUAGCACAGAAUGAUAAAGAAAAGGAUAACAUGUAAGAGAACUAUUUCAAAGGAAUCCAGAAGAAGAGAACAGAGAAAAUGGAGAAUACACAAUUAAAAUGGUAAUUGAGAAAUUGUUCCAAAACUGAUAUGAACAUGAAUCAUCAGAUUCAAAUAGUAAAAGUAGCCUCAACAUGAUAAGUACAAUUGAAUCCACACCUAGACAUAUCAUAAUGAAACUUCAGAACACCAACAUAAAAAACAAGUUUCUUUAAAGCGCCAGAAAGAAGGAAAAAUCAUUUGAAAGAAUAAUAUUAUACUGACUGCAGACAGCAGAAUUAUCGUAGCAACAAUAAAAGUCAAGAGAGUGGAAUAGUACCUUCAGUAAGUUGAAGCCACAUAGCUGUCAACUAGAAUUAUAUGUUGUUGUAAUCACCCCACAGCAAUGAAUGGGCUCCCCACGUGAAACUUUGUUCAGAUAUCAUGACUGAUGGUACCAUACACACAUACCAAGAGAGUAUGAACAUUUUUAUUAAUCAUGGAUUGAAGAUUCCUGGGGAGAACAGAUUCCCAAGCAGGUCUGAAAAUGGUUGGGAGAGCAGAGAAUGGAGACUGUCUUGGGUUUAUGAUGGUUAGGUAGUUAGAGGUGAAAGUGAAGUUUCCCUUCAUGAUCCAGGGCUUGCAUGGUUUAAUCUUUCUGACACCAACAAAGGAGGGUACCUAAGAAACCAGGUAAAGGUAUAUUGCAUUCCUUCCAAAGUGAAGGCAAAUUGAAAUUUGAGAGACUAUUGAAAUAGGCUCAGAACAGAUGUAGACAAAUAUGUGACUGAAAAGUACAUACCAGUUGCUGAUUGUUUGGUGUUUAUCUUCUCAUGGAGAAAGGAAGGCUGUGUGCAUACAAGUGACAUCUGCUGCUUGUUUCAAGUCCUAGAAUUGUAUGACUACCUUAGCUUCAUGUGGGCCUAGUGCCUCAUUCUGUUGGUCCUGUUCUUUGAUUAUACAGGCUGUUCACCUCAGGUACAGGUACACAUCUAUUGCUCUAUUGCUUCCUCCAAAGCAAAAUGCCCUUGAUAUUAAGUUCACAGAGCCUGAGGCUUUUGUCCAGAUUUUACUGAUUUCUCCAAUUUCUGCCUAGUAGUAAAGUCUUUGCCCUUAGACUAAGCCAGCUUUGUCCACUAGAGAUAUGAUAUGAGCCAUAUGCGUCAUUUAAAAUUUUCUAGUAGCUACAUUUAAAAAUAAAUUAACAGAGCUAGGUGAAACUAAUAAUACAGUGUAUUUACUCCAACACAUCCAAAAUAAUAUGAAAUGUUAUUAAGAUAUUUUGCAUUCAUAUUUUCUAAGUCUUCAAAAUUUAGAAUGUACUUUAUUUACACUUACAGAAUAUCUCAGUUAAGCGUUCAUUAAAAGUGCUUGAUCUGUGUUUAGAUUUUAUAAAAUUUACAGUUGAAAAAUUAGAUGCACAUACCUAAGUUAUUUCAAAUGUACAAAAACAGUUUCCAAAAGCUGAAUUGAGGGUCAAUUUUAAAAUUUAAAUUUAAAGUAAUUUAAGUUAAAUUAAAAAGUUAGUUUCUCAGUCUCCCUAGCCACAUUUUAAGUGCUUGGUAGCUACAAGUGGGCUAGCAGCUACUGCACUGGGCAGCACAGACUAUCGUGAAAUGCAGGCCCUCAUCUCAAAGCCUCCUUUCUGCUUGCAUGUUACAUCUUGAAUUAGAAAGAUGGGACUGCACCUCACUUCCUGAAAAUAACACUCAUAUACCUUAAACUGACAUUCAAAACUCUUAGUAACAUCUUGAAGGCAUUGAAACAGCCAAGGAUCUACAACUUCCUAAUUAAACUAGCUAAAAUUAAUUUUUCCUUAUUUUGUUAUCCCAAAGAACUUCUUCUUACCUCUGUUUUAGGCUUUAUUCCAAUAGGCUCAUAGUAUUUUUUACUGUAUCCUUGGUGAAUCGCCAUGUCAUAAUCCUAAAGAACAUGAUUCCUAAGUUUAGAAAAAUCUAGGUUUGAUCCCCCGAAUGCCCAUCUAUUGGCUUGGGCAGUUAUGUCUUCUGAGCCUAACAUUCCUUAUUUACAAAGUGGGAAUAAUACUUACUUAAUAAUAUGAUGUAGUGAGGAUUAUAAGUGAUACAGCCUAUAAAGUGCUUUACUUUGUGUCAGAGUUUGUCACCAAAAAAAUUACAAAAAUAAUGUUAGCAAAUAUUUAUUGAUCUGUUUCUCACUAAAAUUUAAGUCUUUAAAGGUGAGGGUCAUUGAUCUGCUUGCUAAAGGGACAUCACCUAGCACUGUGCUGUGCAUAUGGCCGUAUAUACAGCUCAGUCAAUGGUUGAGUUUAAAUUCAAACUGACUGCUACCACUGACUGGAUUCAGACUUCACCCUGCUUCGCAUGCCCUCCUUAUCUCCAUUUGUAUAUCUCUUCCAGUUGCUUUGCCUCUUUGUCUUCUUGGUCUCAAUAGUCACUAAAGUUUCAAGCAACAGGUGAGAAAAAUAAAAUUAAAAAGCCCUUUUUCAUAAGGCAAAACAGUCAUGGAAUAUAAAGGAAAUUUAAUUUUAGAACUGCAUUAGAAUAAAGUUGGUUAGGUAUAAACCCUUAACUCCUAGAAACGUAUUCAGAGCAACAGGCAUCUCCGCCAGCUCCCUGGGACCGGGCUACAGUGGAGUUGUGUCAUAGUGCAAAAGUAGUGAACUGCUGAUAAAAAGCAUUAACCUCCAUCAGAGUGGCUGCCAUUAACUGAUGAAAUCAAUUAAGCCAGCAGCACUACCUGCUGAAAACUGAUCUAGCAGAGGAACGGAUGGCAGGGUAGAACAGAUGAAAUGAAAAAAUAGUGGGCUGGGUUUUCUUCUUGCUCUGUUUUUAGAAAUGUUAAGUUCCGUCAGUGUGUUUUUUUGCACUGCUUUGAAGAACUCUUUCCCCGGCGACUCCCCCCCUGCUUGGCCUCAUUCCUUAAACUCACUAAGUUAUUACAGUUAAUACCGUGGUUAAUGGUUUCUGGAAAGACGAUAUCUAUCAGCAUCUGAGUGUACACAUUUUGGCCUAAAUACUGAGAAAUCGUAGGUAUGUAAUACAAAGCCUGGGUGUGCCUGCCUGUAGAAAGUAGCUCAUUAGGAUUAAUCUUUUAUGGAGUGACUAAUGCAAAGGGAACGAGGCCUUUUCCUCCCCAACUCGGCAGAGGUUUUGUCCAAACUUUCAAACAGGUUUCUUUGGAAUACAGCUGGUCACUACUGAAGACUUUGCUCAAACAUAUGGAACUUUAAAACCUUGAUUUUUUUUUUAACUUUUGUAUACUGUAGCAAUUCCCUGAAAAUCAAAUGGCAGAACCUAAACGGAAGACUCACUGCCAAAACGCAUGCCCAGUUGGGGAAAAGUGUGUGGGGAAUCAUCCAGCACACUUCGAGAGCUUCGAGUACAGCCUGGUAGAACUCUGUAUUACCUUCUGUUCUGAUUCCUGAGCUCUGCCAGACUUUUGUUUGAAAAAGCAUCUUUAUGCAGCAGUACAUUUGUUACGUUGUAUCUGAGAAUACUUUCCACCUUGGCUCCUGCUUUUAACGAGUAAAAUGACUUCUUCUCUUGCUACAAAGACCAAAAGGACACAAGGUACAAGGCAGAGCUUCUCAGCAGAGAUAUAUGUUUUUUUCUGCCAAAAUUAGUAUAAGACAAUAAGUUGUCUGUAAAGGUCCGGUAGUCAGAUAAAGGAGUCAAGUUCCUUUUCAGGGUAAUGUAAUUGUUAGUCCUCAUAAAAAAAAGUGUUGUGUGGUGGGGGGAGUUGCGGCUUUAUCAAUAAAAGCAUACAGAGCUGAAUAUCUACAUAAAGAAAUGUUCAGUAUAAUUUAUGGCAUUUCAUCAUGUCGAACUGCAUUUCAAGUAAUUCACCCUGGCAGUUUUAUUCUCAAAAUGGAAAUCUUAGUAUUUUCCUUGCCUUCAUCAAAUAAAGAGUUCGUGUUCAACUGUAGUCCGUAUACUUGAUAAUUUGUCUGGCUGGGUAAGGUUAUUAGCAAUUUAAGAAGUAAACCCAUUUGGAUUUUCAGAGUUAACAGAAAUAGGAGAUUGCUAUGAUGAUCUCUUAAAAAUUACAAUGUAACACACAAAAGUGAGAUUUAAGUAACAAGAUUUUCCAUACACCAAUAACACCAGGGAAAUUCAAACUCAAACUCCCUCGUUUAAUUUCCAGGGAUUAAGGGGUUGGUAUUGAAGUCAAUGAAAGAUACAUUUUACAAAACUGUUAAUUCAAUUCAGAAAAGCAGACCAAAGGCCCACUAUCUUUAGAGUUUCUUUGGUUGAAAUGCAACUUGAUCAACUGGGUGGAAGAUAUUUCUAAUUCUCUAAACUGGUCAGAACAAAGUAGAGGACAGUGGUCCCAGCCAGAGGAUCCUGAGGGUCUCCUAUGAUAAACUGUUAGACUUGCAAGGGCAUUUAGAGAUUAUUUAGCCCAAACCUAUAGCUUGGUAAAUGAGGAAAUUGAAGCCUAGAGAGUAAAUGACUUAGCUAACAUCAUUCAACUGGUCGGUAUAGGUGUUCACUCACUUGCCUUUCAAAUAGAGAUCUUUUUAACUCCCUCAUCAAAUUCUUUCAGGAAUUAUUGAUUUUCUUAGUUGGUUUCUUUUGAUUUUAUAUUUUAUCAUGGAGAUGAUAUUAAUUCCAGGAUAAAAUACUGAUAUAAGGAAUUUUCAAAAUUGUUGCUCAUUAUUUUCUAAUUUUCAUUUAGCCUCUUGCAACAUUGCAAACAAAGUUGAUAACAUUUUACCUUUAGAUUCACCUUUUCAAUUUACAAAACACUUAAUGUCUAAGACUUGCCAAUGAUAUAAGCUAUUUACUAUUUAACACAUUUAUAGAUAAGGUGUAGAGCAUUGGCAAGGUUAAAUGACUUUGCUAAGGUCACACAACCAGACAUUAGCGAAGCCAGACCUUGAACCCAGCAUUUUUUACUGUUUACACCAUGUUAGUUGUGAAUGUAUAACUAAGGCAAAGGGAUCACCUCAUAAAGUUCUUACUGAUGAGGGACUGAAUUGUUUAUUUGCUAUUUCACUGUAAGAAGCUUCGCUUAAUGGAUAAAAGCAUAAGAUUUAGACUCAAACCAGAAAUCCACCUCUACUUUAUAGUAGUAUGGGGACAUUGGUUAAGUGAUCUCUUUUAUUCACAAUCGUCUCAUCUGCUUAAUGGUGAUAAUAAUAAAUGUAGGUUUUUCUGGAACAAUUAAAUGGCUAAUGCAUUUGAGAAAAAGCAUGUAUUUCAUUGUUUGGCAUAAAAUAAACACUAUAUAUUUUUAGUAACUGUUACUAUGCUAUUAUUCUAAGCUAUACUAUCAGCAAGAUGUAAGUAAUGCUCCUAUUUCAUCAUAAAUAUAUAAAUACUUAUGUUUUUAUGUAUAGAUUGUUAUGCUUACAUAGGUUUCAGUGCACUUUGUUAGUAAUUAUUCUUCAUAUCUUUCAGAAUGCAAACUUCUUAAGGUCAAAGACAUGUGUUUUAUCUUUGAUAUAGAAUAUUUUCAAUGACAAGAUAUGUUCAUCUUUAUAUCCCCAAAACCUAUCAUGUUUUUGAAAGACAGUAAGUGUUAAUAAACAGUUAUUAGUGUUGAAAUAGAGUUUUGUAUUGACUUUGAAAAUAAUCCUUACUCUGGGUUGGUUGGCUGAUUGGCUUGUUUAUUUAUUUAGCUCAUGAGAUGAGAGGGGUAGACAUUUACUCUUCUAUCUAAAGGUCUUAGUUCCCUCUUGGCUGUCAUUUGGUGAGUAACUUGCUUUGCUGUUGUUUCUGUGGUGUUUAGAUAUCUAUAUGUAAAUCUUGUAACAUGGUCUUAGCUCCUUUCCUGGCAAGCUAAUUAUCUGAUGAGCAACCAAAGAAAUGAUCUAUUCUAGUGGAAGAGAAAAAAUUGACUGUGUUAAGCUUACCGAGAAAUAAUACUGUACAUACUAUUGCACUUUAUGAGACUUAAAGAAUUUGAAUACACAGUUUUUAUAUGCAUGCUAACCUUAGCUGCCUGGAAAGAUGCAGCAUAACUGCUUAAACUUAUUUUUUUUGUUGUUGUAUACUAACUUAUUUUAAAUGAGGAUGAGUAGAUAUAGACAUAUAUAUAUAUAUAUUUAUACACACACACACACACACACAAAUAUAUACACCUUCCCCCAAGUGCAUGUGCACGCGCGCACGCGCACACACACACACACACACGCAACUAGUUGACUGAGGAAGAUAAAACUUGGGCCUGAUUUACAGAUGUUUCUGCACAAUAUUCAGGCACCAUUCAAAAGUGGACAGCAACAGCAGUGCAGCCCCUUUCUGGACAUCCUUGAAAGACGGCAGUGAAGGAAAUUUCUCCCAGUGGGCAGAACUUCAAACACAGCACCUGGAGACACACUGGCAAAGGAAAUAACCAGAGCAUCCUGAAGUAGCUGCUUCAUAGAAUAUUGGAAUGGCCUUUUGGAAAUUCAGAGACAGCACCAACUACAUGGCGACACCUUCCAGGACUGAAGUACUUUCCUCCAGGAGGCUGUAUGUGCUGUAAAUCUGCAUCUAGUGUAUGGUGCUGCUUCUCCCAUAGCCAGGAUUCAUGGGUCCAGGAAUCAAGGGGUGAAAACGAGAAAAUCAAGGGAUGAAAAUGACUCCACUCACUCUUACUCCUGGGAAGCCACUAUCAGGAGUUUUGCUUGCCAUCCCCCUGAACUUUUGCAUUGUUGAUCUAGAAGUCUUAGUUCCAAAGUUAGGAGUGCUUCUACCAGAAGACAUCACAAUGAUUCCAUUGAUCUGGAAAUUGAAGCUAUUACCUGACCAUUGUAAGCUCCUCAUGUCUCUGAGUUCACAGGCAAAGAAGAGAGUUACUGUACUGGCUGGGAUUAUCAGUCCUAAUCAUCAAGGGGAAAUUAAACUGCUACUCCACAAUGGAGGUAACGGACACUAUGUUUAGAAUGCAGGAGGCCCUUAGGUUGGCAUCUCCUAGUACUCCCAUGUCCUGUGAUUAAAGCCAAUGGAAAACUAUAACAAACCUGAGAGUGGCCCAGACUCUUCAGAAAGGAAGGUUUGGAUCACUCCACCAGGCAAACAACCAUGACCAUCAGAGGUGCUGCUGAAGGAAAAGGGAAUACGGAGUGCCUAGUGGGAGAAGGCAGUUACAAAUAUCAGCUACAAGUGUGUGACCAAUUGCAGAAACAAUGACUGUAAAUGUUGUAAGUAUUUCUUCCUUAUUUUGUUAUGAAUAUGUUUGUAUGUGGGCAUAUGAGUGUGUGUAUGUAUUUGUGUGUGUGUGUGUGUAUAUAUAUAUGUAAAUGACAUUUUGAUUUCUUUUUUUCUUAUCCCCCAUCAUUUAAUAUAAGAUGUAUUAAUAAUAGUUAACUUUAUAUCACAUUAUUUAAGUUACUGGAUAUAAAAAAAGAAGGAACAACUCCCAAAAAACUUUGCAUCCUUUUCUGGUGAAAAGGUUACUGUGUUUUCAGUUAUAUGAAAGAUAAUUGUUUCAGGUUAGGUAGAAAUAUAUGACUUUUUUUUCUGCUUGGAGAUUAAAUAUGGUUUAGGAAAAUGUGUAUAACUGUCAAGUUUUCAAGGGAUAGACAGUACGAUUUUUGUUGUAUUAACUUGACACAUUAAACUGUGAUGUUGCUGUGAAGAUAUUUUGAGAAGUGAUUAAAGUCCAUAAUCAGUUGCCUUUAAGGAAGGGAGAUUAUUUGAGGUAAUCUAGGUGGGCCUGAUUCAAUCAUUAAGAGGACUUAAGAGCAUAGCUGUUUCCUGAAGAGGAAACUUCACCUAUGGACAGCUUCAGUCUACCUUUCCUGAGGACCCACGUGAUGGAUUUCAGACAUACAAUCAUGUAAGCCAAGUCCCCACAGUCAAUAUCUUAAUAUGUAUCUCAUACUGGUUAUUCUUCAGUGGUUAAACUCUGACUGACACAGAAUAUGUGUGUAUUUAUUUAUUAUUUGUAAAUUGUUUUUCUAUAUUUUCCUGUUGGGAGGAUUAUAUUGUCUUAUUGAUUUGUAAAGGCUCUUUGUAUAUUAAAGAUAUACAUCAAAUAUGUUAAAAAAAAUUUUCUCAUCCUCCUAUUGUUUUCUCUUUAUUAUGCUUUUAAAUGUGGAGAACUUUUUAAUUUUUAUAAAUUU